UUUGAUUCAAAACCAGUUUCUCUUUUCUGCAUAGGAAGGUCCUUGAAGGUGUUUAGGGUCUAAAAAGGGUGGUGUUCGGUCUCUGAAACAUCCAUUCAGCAGUUUGAGCUGGGAUCUCUGAAUGCAAGGGUAUGAUGGAUAUACUUCUUUCUUGCUUUUGUUGUGUUUUGGUUUUUUGUUUGUUUUUAAGUCAGGGUCUCUCUGUCACCAGGCUGUAUUACAGUGGUGCAAUCAUGGCUCACUGCAGCCUCGACCUCCCAGGCUCAAGCCAUCUUUCCACCUCAGCCUGCCAGUGGCUAGAACUACAGGCGUGCACCACUGUGCCCGGCUAAUUUGUGUGUAUAUAUUUUGUAGAAAUGGGGUUUCACCAUGUUGUCCAGGCUGGUCACGAACUCCUGGGCUCAAGCCAUCUGCCCGCCUCAUCCUCCCAAAGUGCUGGGAUUAUAGGCCUGAGCCCACCGUGCCUGGCCUUUCCUGUUUAUCUUUGAAAAUUAAAUAGGGCAUAAGAGAGAAGAAGAUGUACUUACAAUGCAGUGGGUGGUUUUAACUCUAUAGCCUUUGGGCUCUGUGGUUGGUGCUCCCCUUCCUAAAUAAAUGAGGUGUAUGCAGGGCCCUCUUCUGCCUUAGCGCCCUGCCAGCUGGGACUCCAGCAAGGCCCGGGGCACCUGAGGACAGAGUGAGAUGGAGGGCCGCUGCUCCAGCAGCCGGGCCUGCAUCCCACAAGUCAACUGUGUCGGACAGAGGAUCCUUACAAAGAAGAGGCAGCAGGGUUGGGGGCUGGCCAGCUGCUCGUCCGCCCUAGGUAGCUUGCUCAUCUGUAAAGUGGGUGGGGCAGGAGUUCCCACCUCAUGGGGUCCUGGCAAGCCUGCAGUAUCCCCGAGUGGCACCAGCCUGCUUCUGGGGCAGAGCAGUUUGUGCCCCCUGAGGUACCACUGAUCCUCUUUCCCUGCUAUUAGGUAUUGCUCUCUUCCUCCGGUGUUUGCCUUUUCAGAUUAUAGAAGUAAUAUGUGUUCCCAUAUUUGGCGUCUCUCAGGAGCUCAGGAAGUACUUGGCUGAGUGAACAUGUCCAUUGUGGAAAAAUGGCAACAAUAUGGAUUCCAUGGGUAUAUUUUAUAGAAGAAUAUGAAGAAAAGCAGCUACCCCUAAACCCAUUGCACAAGCUGUUCAUGUUAAUUCUGUACCCGACGCUUUCCCCACGGGGCCUCCCCUCACUCUGAAAUGGCAUCCAGGUCCAUCUUGCCCUCCACCUCUGCAUGGCUCUCCAUGCCCCAUCGCCUCUCCCAGAUCCUAGCACUGGGUCCACACUCUCGCCCUGUCCAUUUAGGUUGAUGAAAGCAGGCAGUCACCCGGGUGGGCCAGUCUUGCCUGUGGGAGGAACAUGCAGUCUCCUGUCUCAUGGUUUGAAGUGUGCCAGGAAGCCUGGCCCAGCCCACCUCCCCCUGGAGUCCUUCCCAGGAGGAAUAACCCCUUAGGUCAUUGACUAUAAGAUGAGUUCGCUCACUGGAUCCUUCCUCUCUGAUGAGACAGGAAGAAGGUACACAGUGACCAGGUAGGAGGAGGAGAGGGAGUAGAAAGGAGGGAUGCGGGUGGCUGGUCCCUGCAUUUGCCUGCUUCCCUGCACGGGUGUCCCACUGGCCGCCUCUGCUCACCAGUGUCAUGGGAUUCUCUCAGAAGAUGAAAACAGCCCCUGCUUUUUUGCUAGAAUGGCUGAGCUUUCAUGGAAAGGAAGCUGGACCCAAGCAACAGCCGACUACCGAAGGUUGCCUGGAGCAGUGCAGAUGUGGGAGGAAGAAGGGCCUUGGUGCACACUGGCUUUUCUUCCUGACUGCAAUGUGGCAUUGUGCCAGCUACCUCCUCUUUCUCGGCCUCAGGAAAAUGGAGAGAAAGCAGCCCUGAAGGUGGCUGUGACGAGGGAAGGGGCAGAGGGCCUGACAGUCAACCACGCGCUAUAUUUUCCUGUUCUUCCUUAGGGCAAGAACUGCAUGGCCAGACUCAGGCAAGGCCUAGGUGUGGGCUGGGCAUUGCCUACACGUGAAGAGAUCACUCCGCGUCCCUACUGCACCUGUCACAAAGUGCCUUCUGAUAUGCCUGGCAAACCAAAAUCGGUGAGCGCCAGCUUGCUUCCCUAGAAGACAUUUCUAAAUAUUCAUAACAUGCUUGCUCAAAUCAAUCACCUUAUUUUACAUCCGCUCCAGGGAGAAAUGAAGACAUGGUCCUACGUUGUUCUGUAAUUAUUUUCUAUGUAAAUUUUGUUCCUUGUUACAAUUAUAUAUGUCUUAGGGGAAAGGACCAUUUCACAUGUGUCACCUCAUGUGAUUCUCACCACAGCCCUGUGAUUGCUCCUGUUUUAUAAAUAAUGACAUAGUUCCAGUUGAUGGCCAAAGCCACAGCUAACGAGAGGCAGAGAGAGCUCAGGCUCCCAGGAGCUUCCACUCUCAGACCUUGCCUCCCGGGCUGCCCUGAGUGAAACGCCUGCUUAGCAUUUGGCACAGCCAGAAGCAGCAAGCUAGGGUCACAACACAGAGAGGGGCUGUGUAAUACUGGCUGCCUCUGUGCUAAGAAAAAAAAAAAAUCACUGUGUGUUUGUUUAUUUUGGUGCAGGCCCAGUGUUCUUGCUUAGACUUAAUACUACCCUUCAUGUUAAAAUAAAACCAAACAAAAACCC
rnacentral:lncRNA from 1 species